rnacentral:rRNA from 1 species
GACGAACGCUGGCGGCGUGCUUAACACAUGCCAGUCGAACGGAAAGGCCCUGCUUUUGUGGGGUGCUCGAGUGGCGAACGGGUGAGUAACACGUGAGUAACCUGCCCUUGACUUUGGGAUAACUUCAGGAAACUGGGGCUAAUACCGGAUAGGAGCUCCUGCUGCAUGGUGGGGGUUGGAAAGUUUCGGCGGUUGGGGAUGGACUCGCGGCUUAUCAGCUUGUUGGUGGGGUAGUGGCUUACCAAGGCUUUGACGGGUAGCCGGCCUGAGAGGGUGACCGGCCACAUUGGGACUGAGAUACGGCCCUGACUCCUACGGGAGGCAGCAGUGGGGAAUAUUGCACAAUGGGCGGAAGCCUGAUGCAGCAACGCCGCGUGCGGGAUGACGGCCUUCGGGUUGUAAACCGCUUUCGCCUGUGACGAAGCGUGAGUGACGGUAAUGGGUAAAGAAGCACCGGCUAACUACGUG